rnacentral:tRNA from 1 species
GCCAGGAUAGCUCAGUAGGUAGAGCGUGAGACUCUUAAUCACAUGGUUGUGGGUUCGAGCCCCAUGCA